rnacentral:ncRNA from 1 species
AAGGUGUAACACCCAGGAUUUUCAUAUGUUUUAAUUUCACAAUGUAAAUGUACUUUUGUUGUGGGAUUAAUAAAAAGAUGGAUUUUCCAAAUUCGAUGAUGUUUUUCAAACUCUAGUAAUGUUGAUUUCGGAGAAAGAAUGCUAAUGAAAUGUUAAUUUUGCAAAUCAAGUCAAACGACACAGUUUUGGAGGCUAGUUUAACAGCCUGCCCACCCUGGAAACGGCUCAGCCGGAGGUAGGGUCCAGCGGCUGGAAGAGCACCGCACGUCGCGUGGUGUCCGGUGCGCCCUCGGCGGCCCUUGAAAAUCCGGAGGACCGAGUGCCUCUCACGCCCGGUCGUACUCAUAACCGCAUCAGGU